rnacentral:rRNA from 1 species
CAUAACCCCGGGAAACUGGGUAUAAUACCCGAUAGGUCUCGAUUGCUGGAAUGCAUCGAGAUUUAAAGCUCCGGCGCCUAAGGAUGGGUCUGCGGCCUAUCAGGUAGUAGUGGGUGUAGCGUACCUACUAGCCUACGACGGGUACGGGUUGUGAGAGCAAGAGCCCGGAGAUGGAUUCUGAGACACGAAUCCAGGCCCUACGGGGUGCAGCAGGCGCGAAAACUUUACAAUGCUGGCAACAGCGAUAAGGGAACCUCGAGUGCCAGGUUACAUAUCUGGCUGUCGAGAUGCCUAAAAAGCAUUUCAUAGCAAGGGCCGGGCAAGACCGGUGCCAGCCGCCGCGGUAACACCGGCGGCUCGAGUGGUAACCGUUAUUAUUGGGUCUAAAGGGUCUGUAGCCGGCCGGAUAAGUCUCUUGAGAAAUCUGGCAGCUUAACUGUCAGGCUUUCAGGAGAUACUGUCUGGCUCGAGGCCGGGAGAGGUGAGAGGUACUUCAGGGGUAGGGGUGAAAUCUUGUAAUCCUUGAAGGACCACCAGUGGCGAAGGCGUCUCACCAGAACGGACCUGACGGCAAGGGACGAAAGCUAGGGGCACGAACCGGAUUAGAUACCCGGGUAGUCCUAGCCGUAAACGAUACUCGCUAGGUGUCGGCCACGGUGCGACCGUUGUCGGGUGCCGUAGGGAAGCCGUGAAGCGAGCCACCUGGGAAGUACGGCCGCAAGGCUGAAACUUAAAGGAAUUGGCGGGGGAGCACCACAACGGGUGGAGCUUGCGGUUUAAUUGGAUUCAACGCCGGAAAUCUUACCGGGACCGACAGCAAUAUGAACGCCAGGCUGAAGACUUUGCCGGAUUAGCUGAGCGGUGGUGCAU